AUACGGAGGGUGCAAGCGUUGUCCGGAUUUAUUGGGUUUAAAGGGUGUGUAGGCGGUGUAUUAAGUCAGUGGUGAAAGCCUGCGGCUCAACCGUAGAACUGCCAUUGAUACUGACACACUUGAGUAUGGACGAGGUAGGCGGAAUUUAUGGAGUAGCGGUGAAAUGCAUAGAUACCAUAAAGAACACCGAUAGCGAAGGCAGCUUACUAGGCCAUAACUGACGCUGAGGCACGAAAGCGUGGGGAGCGAACAGGAUUAGAAACCCCAGUAGUCC
rnacentral:rRNA from 1 species